rnacentral:rRNA from 1 species
UGAGGAAUUUUGCGCAAUGGGAGCAAUCCUGACGCAGCAACGCCGCGUGGGUGAUGACGGCCUUCGGGUCGUAAAGCCCUGUCAGGUGGGAAGAAUGUCCAGGGAUUGAACAGGAUUUGGGAGUGACGGUACCACCAGAGGAAGCACCGGCUAACUCCGUGCCAGCAGCCGCGGUAAUACGGAGGGUGCAAGCGUUAUUCGGAAUCACUGGGCGUAAAGCUCGUGUAGGCGGUCCUGCAAGUCUGAUGUGAAAGCCACUGGCUUAACCCUGGAAGUGCAUGGGAAACUGUGGGUCUUGAGUGCUGGAGAGGAUGGGGGAAUUCCCGGUGUAGGGGUGAAAUUCGUAGAGAUCGGGAGGAAUAUCAGUGGCGAAGGCGCCCAUCUGGACGGUAACUGACGCUGAGACGCGAAAGCGUGGGGAGCAAACA